GAUGAACGCUAGCUACAGGCUUAACACAUGCAAGUCGAGGGGAAACGAUAGGGAAAGCUUGCUUCUUCUAGGCGUCGACCGGCGCACGGGUGAGUAACGCGUAUCCAACCUGCCCAUCACUUGGGGAUAACCUUGCGAAAGUAAGACUAAUACCCAAUGACGUCUCUAGAAGACAUCUGAAGGAGAUUAAAGAUUUAUCGGUGAUGGAUGGGGAUGCGUCUGAUUAGCUUGUUGGCGGGGUAACGGCCCACCAAGGCGACGAUCAGUAGGGGUUCUGAGAGGAAGGUCCCCCACAUUGGAACGGAGACACGGUCCAAACUCCUACGGGAGGCAGCAGUGAGGAAUAUUGGUCAAUGGACGAGAGUCUGAACCAGCCAAGUAGCGUGCAGGAAGACGGCCCUAUGGGUUGUAAACUGCUUUUAUAAGGGAAUAAAGUGAGUCUCGUGAGACUUUUUGCAUGUACCUUAUGAAUAAGGACCGGCUAAUUCCGUGCCAGCCGCCGCCGUAA
rnacentral:rRNA from 1 species